AUUGAACGCUGGCGGCAGGCCUAACACAUGCAAGUCGAGCGAGCGGCGGACGGGUGAGUAAUGUCUGGGAAACUGCCUGAUGGAGGGGGAUAACUACUGGAAACGGUAGCUAAUACCGCAUACCAUCAGAUUUGCCCAGAUGGGAUUAGCUAGUCGGUGGGGUAAUGGCUCACCUAGUCGACGAUCCCUAGCUGGUCUGAGAGGUUGACCAGCAAAAUUGGAACUGAGACACGGUCCAGCCUCCUACGGGAGGCAGCAGUGGGGAAUAUGGCACAAUGGGCGCAAGCCUGAUGCAGCCAUGCCGCGUGUGUGAAGAAGGCCUUCGGGUGGUAAAGCACUUUCAGCGGGGAGGCGUUACCCGCAGAAGAAGCACCGGCUAACUCCGUGCCAGCAGCCGCGGUAAUUC
rnacentral:rRNA from 1 species